rfam:Oryza glaberrima chromosome 3 Oglab03_0108_2, whole genome shotgun sequence.
AAAAAGGCAAACUAUAAUUUUACGUGUCCAACUUUGACUGUCUGUCUUAUAUGAAAUUUUUUUAUAAUUCGUAUUUUCAUGGUUGUUAGAUGAUAAAACAUGAUUAAUAUUUUAUGCGUGACUUGUCUUUUUAAUUUUUUCAUAAUUUUUUUAAAUAAGACGAACAAUCAAAUGAUGGACACGGAAAUCACUUUUU